GCUCAGCUAGGUUAUAUAGUUUGAGAGGAGAAUUGGUAGGAUUUAGAAGGAAUUUUUUAUGAAAGCCUUAGGGGAAGUGUUUAGUUAUUUUUUGGAGCAGGGACUAAAGGAAUUAUCCAGAAGAAUCAGGUGGAGGAGGAACACCCUGACAUUCAUCUCCCAGGGAAUGGUCUCUCUACCCUGCAUCCACAUGGUGAAGCACUAUAGAAGAUUCUCCCUAUGGGUCAGCUUCUCUCCAGUGCCAGACUCCUCAAAGAAAUGAUACCACCCAAAUCAUCUUGCAAACCACAUGGAAAAUUGGUCAUGAUCCUCAUGGUUCCUGACAUCGAGCCCCAGAUCUGGCUCUGCCCUGACAGCGUGGAGCCUGCUUGGAAUUCUCUCUCCCUC